rnacentral:rRNA from 1 species
GACGAACGCUGGCGGCGUGCUUAACACAUGCAAGUCGAACGGAAAGGCCCUGCUUUUGUGGGGUGCUCGAGUGGCGAACGGGUGAGUAUCACGUGAGUAACCUGCCCUUGACUUUGGGAUAACUUCAGGAAACUGGGGCUAAUACCGGAUAGGAGCUCCUGCUGCAUGGUGGGGGUUGGAAAGUUUCGGCGGUUGGGGAUGGACUCGCGGCUUAUCAGCUUGUUGGUGGGGUAGUGGCUUACCAAGGCUUUGACGGGUAGCCGGCCUGAGAGGGUGACCGGCACAUUGGGACUGAGAUACGGCCCAGACUCCUACGGGAGGCAGCAGUGGGGAAUAUUGCACAAUGGGCGGAAGCCUGAUGCAGCAACGCCGCGUGCGGGAUGACGGCCUUCGGGUUGUAAACCGCUUUCGCCUGUGACGAAGCGUGAGUGACGGUAAUGGGUAAAGAAGCACCGGCUAACUACGUG